rnacentral:rRNA from 1 species
AUUGAACGCUGGCGGCAGGCCUAACACAUGCAAGUCGAGCGGAUGAGUGGAGCUUGCUCCAUGAUUCAGCGGCGGACGGGUGAGUAAUGCCUAGGAAUCUGCCUGGUAGUGGGGGACAACGUUUCGAAAGGAACGCUAAUACCGCAUACGUCCUACGGGAGAAAGCAGGGGACCUUCGGGCCUUGCGUUAUCAGAUGAGCCUAGGUCGGAUUAGCGUAGUAGGUGAGGUAAUGGCUCACCUAGGCGACGAUCCGUAACUGGUCUGAGAGGAUGAUCAGUCACACUGGAACUGAGACACGGUCCAGACUCCUACGGGAGGCAGC